rnacentral:rRNA from 1 species
GACGAACGCUGGUGGCGUGCUUAACACAUGCAAGUCGAACGGAAAGGCCCUGCUUUUGUGGGGUGCUCGAGUGGCGAACGGGUGAGUAACACGUGAGUAACCUGCCCUUGACUUUGGGAUAACUUCAGGAAACUGGGGCUAAUACCGGAUAGGAGCUCCUGCUGCAUGGUGGGGGUUGGAAAGUUUCGGCGGUUGGGGAUGGACUCGCGGCUUAUCAGCUUGUUGGUGGGGUAGUGGCUUACCAAGGCUUUGACGGGUAGCCGGCCUGAGAGGGUGACCGGCCACAUUGGGACUGAGAUACGGCCCAGACUCCUACGGGAGGCAGCAGUGGGGAAUAUUGCACAAUGGGCGGAAGCCUGAUGCAGCAACGCCGCGUGCGGGAUGACGGCCUUCGGGUUGUAAACCGCUUUCGCCUGUGACGAAGCGUGAGUGACGGUAAUGGAUAAAGAAGCACCGGCUAACUACGUG